AGAGAGAGACAUGCGCGCAUAUCAAUAAGCGGAGGAAAAGGAAACUAACAAGGAUUCCCUUAGUAACGGCGAGUGAAGCGGGAAGAGCUCAAAUUUGAAAUCUUCAAGGUUCUACCUUGACGAAUUGUAGUUUAUAGAAGUGUUUUCUGUUAGUGGAGUGGCAAAAGUUCUUUGGAAUAGGACAUCAUAGAGGGUGAGAAUCCCGUAUUUGGUCAUUCCUCCUAGCGUCGUGAUACACUUUCAACGAGUCGGAUUGUUUGGGAAUGCAGUCCAAAAUGGGUGGUAAAUUUCAUCUAAAGCUAAAUAUUGGCGAGAGACCGAUAGCGAACAAGUACCGUGAGGGAAAGAUGAAAAGAACUUUGAAAAGAGAGUUAAACAGUACGUGAAAUUGUCAAAAGGGAAGCGUUUGACACCAGUGUUGUUUUUCCGAAAAUCAAUUACGAAUGUUUUAUUUUUGAGGAGUUAUGACUUCAUCGGCUUGCUCCCUUCUUUAUGAAACUUUCUUAAUGCACUUUUCGGUUAACAAGUCAACAUCAAUUUCUUUUGUUGUAAAAGGGUAUGAGGAAGGUGGCUUUCUUUUCGGAGAAAGUGUUUAUAGCCUUGUGCCUCUGCAAUCGGAGAGAUUGAGGUCUGCAGCGUAGAUCCUUCGGGGUUAGAUACGUUUGUGCUAAGUUAUAGCUUUUCAUAGACAACUUGUUGACUAUGUUUAGUCUUGUAGCUUACUCGCUGACGCUAUUUUACCUACGCUUAGGAUGUUGAUAGUCACAGCGUGUAC
rnacentral:rRNA from 1 species